UGCAUUCACUACUGUAAGUCGCUCUGGAUAAGAGUGUCUAAUAAAUGACAAAAA
rfam:Salmo salar isolate Sally breed double haploid chromosome ssa24, whole genome shotgun sequence.